AUCCUUCGAGGAUUCCUUCAGGAAUUCCUUUGAUGAUUCCUCCAGGAAUUCCUUCGGAGAUUCCUCCAGGAAUCCCUUCGCGGAUUCCUCCAGGAAUUCUAUCGCUAAAAAUUUUUGAAGGGGGGGAGGAGGCAAAAAGUCAAAACUAAAUUUGUAUCCGCCUUACUGCACAACAUCCAGCAUGACUUUCACUUGCAGUCAGUAUCUAUCUAUUCUAUAUCUACCUUAUUGUUCAUGAAAUGUCACUGCUUGUUCAUGUGCGCAGUAAAUGGGGGCACAGUUGGCAGAAUCUGGAAACGACACAACACAGUGGGGUAGUGACAACACCCAUAAUGGUCCCGGGACCAUGAUCACCAUCUUGGCUCCGCAAGAUGAAAACAGGUAAGUAAAGUGUACACAUUAAAAUAAUCAACCUCUCUAAGGUGAUUGGUUUUUUUAUAGACUUUGGCCAAUCAAAACAUGUUGGGCGAUCCCCUCCCAACUGCUCCACAGGUGGAGGAAAGCGAAGACGAUUUCGCUUACUCCUCGCCACUUCCCCCGAUCCUGCCAGGGCUGGUAUGGAUCCCCGUGAUAAAUCAAGAUCAUCUUCCAUCCAGCGAUGUUCACCGUCGGCGACUGGGAAAAUGCCGAUGCUCCCACACCUCACCGGAUUAACGGCAAACUGCCGGAAAAAUAGGAAGUAAAGUGAAAAGAAAUAAAUAUUGAAUAAAUAUGUUUGAAAUCUUA